rnacentral:lncRNA from 1 species
UUGAGUUGAACCAAACUAUAAAUCAUCUUUAAUCAAUAAACAAAUAAAUUUAUCCAUCAUUCUGUCUCAUUUAUAUACAAAAUUGGCACCUCUUAUUUAAUUUUUAUUUUCUUCAUUUCGAGUAAGAUCCCUUUAACACAAAUGAACAAAGCUUUCUAGACAUCUAAUGAUAUGAAAAUUGCAAUUAACUGUAAUGUAUGCUUUCACCUUCAGAAACAUCAUGGUGAUUUUUUAAACAGGUUUACCUGAAGUUGUAUUACAAAGGCGCUA